CCUACGGGAGGCAGCAGUAGGGAAUCUUCCACAAUGGACGAAAGUCUGAUGGAGCAACGCCGCGUGAACGAUGAAGGCCUUCGGGUCGUAAAGUUCUGUUGUAAGGGAAGAACAAGUGCCGCAGGCAAUGGCGGCACCUUGACGGUACCUUGCGAGAAAGCCACGGCUAACUACGUGCCAGCAGCCGCGGUAAU
rnacentral:rRNA from 1 species